CAUAGCGACUAUCGUGGCAUAUCAAUAAGCGGAGGAAAAGAAACUAACUAGGAUUCCCUCAGUAACGGCGAGUGAAGCGGGAAGAGCUCAAAUUUGAAAUCUUCAAGGUUUUACCUUGACGAAUUGUAGUUUAAAGAAGUGUUUUCUGUUGGAGUUUUGGUAAAAGUUCUUUGGAAUAGGACAUCAUAGAGGGUGAGAAUCCCGUAUUUGACCAUUAUUUCCAACUUUGUGAUACACUUUCAAAGAGUCGGAUUGUUUGGGAAUGCAGUCCAAAAUGGGUGGUAAAUUUCAUCUAAAGCUAAAUACUGGCGAGAGACCGAUAGCGAACAAGUACCGUGAGGGAAAGAUGAAAAGAACUUUGAAAAGAGAGUUAAACAGUACGUGAAAUUGUCAAAAGGGAAGCGUUUGACACCAGUGUUGUUUUUCCGAAAAUCAAUUACGAAUGUUUUGUUUUUGAGAAGUUAUGACUUCAUCGGCUGGCUCCUUUCUUUACGAAACUUUCUUAAUGCACUUUUCGGUUAACAAGUCAACAUCAAUUUCUUUUGUUGUAAAAGGGUAUGAGGAAGGUGGCUUUCUUUUCGGAGAAAGUGUUUAUAGCCUUGUAGCCUCUGCAAUCGGAGAGAUUGAGGUCUGCAGCGUAGAUCCUUCGGGGUUAGAUACAGUUGGUGCUAAGUUAUAGCUUUUCAUAGACAACUUGUUGACUAUGUUUAGUCUUGUAGCUUACUCGCUGAUGCUAUUUUACCUACGCUUAGGAUGUUGACGAGACUGUCGAUCUC
rnacentral:rRNA from 1 species